AUUGAACGCUGGCGGCAGGCCUAACACAUGCAAGUCGAGCGGAUGAAGGGAGCUUGCUCCUGGAUUCAGCGGCGGACGGGUGAGUAAUGCCUAGGAAUCUGCCUGGUAGUGGGGGAUAACGUCCGGAAACGGGCGCUAAUACCGCAUACGUCCUGAGGGAGAAAGUGGGGGAUCUUCGGACCUCACGCUCUCAGAUGACCCUCGGUCAGAUUAGCUAGUUGGUGGGGUAAAGGCCUACCAAGGCGACGAUCCGUAACUGGUCUGAGAGGAUGAUCAGUCACAAUGGAACUGAGACACGGUCCAGACUACUACGGGAGGCAGCAGUGGGGAAUAUUGGACAAUGGGCGCAAGCCUGAUCCAGCCAUGCCGCGUGUGUGAAGAAGGUCUUCGGAUUGUAAAGCACUUUAAGUUGGGAGGAAGGGCAGUAAGUUAAUACCUUGCUGUUUUGACGUUACCAACAGAAUAAGCACCGGCUAAAUUCGUG
rnacentral:rRNA from 1 species